rnacentral:misc_RNA from 1 species
GGCAUGUGGGGGUAUGUGGGAUCCCUGCUAGGGGASAGAAAAAAUCCUUUUCAAGCCUGUUCAUUGGAUGGUCGAAUCUCGCAUUCGGCCAUCUCGCUUUCGGUUCCCUGUGUUGCAUACCUGUUGCAAAGGUAUCKUGUUGCCUAAAAUGACCCCGUUUCACCCUACGUUGCGAGUAAUGUCGCGGCAGAAGGUGAACCAAAAAGCAUUCAUCGUGUUCCACCCCGUUCACUUUACGUGUGGCGGGACUGGGCCCACGAUGACGUGCUCGAAUUCUCGGAUGCGGAAAACAAAGUGGGUACGAGGAYCUCGAUCCUCUGUUUACCCGGAMCAAGCGUUCUACGCUUUCGCGAAAGACGUUCUUCCUCGUCGUGGGCUUCCGUCCACRCAGAGGUCGACGUCGCAGAGGAAUGCUACCUGGUGAUCCCYGCCAGUACUCAUAC